GAACUCUUCGAUUAUGAACGAGCAGUAGCGAUACUUCAGGCGGUGCUGCUGCUGCCGCUAUGACGUUUGAGCGUUUUGUCCAAAUUCAUAAAAUUGGUUUCGAUCACUGGGCUAUCUCUUUCGUUUUCACUUUUCUGUUUCUCAAAUUUUCUCCUCUCUUGCUUUCCGCUUCGUGCUCUGUUACUCAAAUGUUUUUGACAACAUCUUCUUUCUUUUACCUUUCGUGCUCUGUCUUGCUGAUGAAUCUCCCAGACUUGAGAUAUUUUCUUUUGCUUUAAUUUUUUAUUAUAUUUAUAGAAGAUUUUUUUAUAUUUUUUUAGUGAGUUUUUCUAUUUCCGUUUCGGUUUAUUGUGUUCUGGCUGUUGAAGAAUGUAAAUUUGGAUUUGCAAAUGGGUGACAGAAAUUUGGACCCUGAUUUCUCUUCGACGAUUUCUAUCAAGGUGAACUAUAAUUCUAGAGUUUCAAAGAAAAAGGAAACGUUGGUGUUCGAAUUUUGCAGCUAUAUGUCAAGAUGCAAGCGAAGGCUAUGCAGCUGUGUUCCUGUUAAUUGCAAUUUCAUUACAUUCAGUGUCCAGAUAUUCUUAAUUCCAACAAUUGAUUUCAUAACAGCUUUGAUCUUCCACACGACUACUCUCUGUUGCUUCCGAAAGAUCUCCGUCUCAAUGUAAGUAGGGUUUUUUCAAUCUGUGUGGAUUACCCAGUUGUUGAAUUUGAUAGAUAAUGUGACUUUUGAGAUGGCAGAGUUUUUGAAAUUGUGUUUUGGGCAUGUCUGAACCUGAAUGAUGCAACCUUUGAUCUUUCAAAUGGAAGGGUUGUCGAUGAGUUUCCUUGCAGUUAUUCAGGUGUCGUUAUCUUUCUUAGCCUUCUUUAUUUCAAAACUACCUUAACCUCAAGCUCACCUGCAAGUUCCUGCUCACCAGGAAAUAGCUUUGUCCAGCAAGGAAAUACCUCUUCGCAACCCACUCAAUCCCACAAAACUUUUACUGCUCUUAAAAACAUUAUCUGCUCAAUUACUUUAGUCCUUUGCUGAAGUCUACAAUUGAGUAGAACCAAUGUCGAGUAUCAAUGGUGACGAAGAUCUUGAUGAAUGAAAGGAGACUAGAGUCUCGAUUCUUAUUCCUCGAAGCCGGUGCUCAACCUACGAUAAGGGUUUAAUGAAGAUUCCAGAAUGAGGUUGGUCAAGACCAAAAAAAUGGUGGACUUAAAAGACAUCAAGCAUGUAGGGGAGUGGUAGGAUUAUCAUUUUAGAGGAAGAAGAAAAGGAGAUUGAUGAUGAUGACGAUACAAUAUGCCCAUCAGGCGAGUUGAUUGAGGGGUAAUUAUCUGAACAAAGAGAGAGGUCGGAAGGGUUCAGAUUUUUUUAUUUUUAUUUUUAGUGUGGUGGGAGUUGAAGGAGAUAACCUCGAACAACAGUUUUGUGGACAAGUCCAGAUUGACAGAGGAUUUUGGUUUUGACUCUCUGUGUUCGUUCGAGUUUGUUGAAGAAGAAAACAUGUCGCAAUCGUCAGACUCAGAACAGGAGCUUGGUGAUUCUUCACAAGAUGAAAAAGAAAUCUUUGAUGUUAUUGAACGCUUUGGCGGUGUGGUUGAGAAUCUCUUCUCAGUCGUAUUAUAGAGGAGUUUCAGACGCUACAGAACAAGUUGAAUUCAAGGAUACUGAAAAGAACAAGAAUUUGUUAAAGUAUAGCAUGAGGAAAAGGUUGGGAUCCGUAUUGGUCAAAUGUGAGGCAAAUAGUCGAACUACCAAUUUCAAGUCAAAUAUGAAAGUUUCUUAAAGGUCUUUAUUUCAUGGAAAGAAUAUUGGGAAAGUCAAUUUUAGCAAGUAUGUGAGUGGAAAGAAGGGAGAUAAAAAAGUUCAAAGGGGCAUUGUCAAACUUAAUGAAGAUAAGUAGCUGGAACGUUAGAGGUCUGGGAAGUAGGCAGAAAAAGGGUAUCUUCGAAAGAGCAGUUUCGUUGCUUAAAGCCCGACAUCGUAAUUUUACAAGAAACCAAGAAAGCAUCACUAGAGAGAGUGGGUUUCCGCCCCUGCACAAGGAAGGUCUGGGGGUAUAGUAGUGAUAUGGAACACAAAACAAAUCUUAGUUAUUGAACCUUUGGUUGGAGUUUUCUCAAUCUCCAUAAAAAUUAAAGCAUUGAAUGGGUUGGACUGGUGGCUAUCAGGGGAGAGAGAAGGGAGUUUUGGGAAGAAAUGGCAAGUCUUUAUGGGCUUUGUGGACCAAGAUGGUGUGUAGGAGGAGAUUUUAAUGUGGUGAGAUAUGUAAAUGAGAAAUCAAGUGGGGGAAGGACGACUACAAGCAUGAGGACCUUUAACGAGUUUAUUCAAGAUACAGAACUCAAAGAUCUAGAUUUGCUCAAUGCUCAAUUUACUUGGUCAAAUUUUAGAGAAGAAGCAGUGUGUCGGAGGUUAGACAUAUUCUUGUUCUCUGUUGGAUGGGAAGAGAUCUUUCCAAAUGUAAGACAAAAGACUUUGGCAAGGGUAAUUUCAGAUCAUUGUCCAAUCGAGCUGGAUACUAACAAGGUGAAAUGGGGGCCAAAUCCUUUCAGGUUCGAAAACAUGUGGCUACAACACCCAGACUUAAGGAACAAAUUCAAACAAUAGUGGCAAUCUAAGUAGGUUGAGGGCUGGGAGGGUUAUAAAUUUUUGAGUAAGUUAAAAGCUCUUAAAAGGAAGUUGCAAAGAUGGAGUAAGGAGAUUUUUGGUGAUGUUGAGAAAGAUAUUAAGGAAGCCGAGGCUAGUUUAGAGGAAUUAGAUAUAAAAGAAGGGAUGGAAUGGUUAGAUGAUGCUUCAAAAAGAAAGAGGGAAGAGUUACUUUUCCUUGUGGAAGAUUUGGCUUUCAAGGACGAAGUGAAGUGGAGGCAAAGAAGUAAAGUGAAGUGGGCUAAAGAUGGGGAUGGUAACACUAAAUUUUUUCAUAAAAUAGCAAAUGGGUGAAGGAAGAGAAAUUAUAUAGAAAGAUUGGAAGUGGAAGAUGGUGGAGUGGUAGAGGAUACAGAAGAGAUAGACAAACAAAUCGUCAAUUUUUUCAAGUCCCUGUUUAGCAGCAAUGAAGAGGUGUGUUGGGGUUUGGAAGGCAUUAAUUGGUGCUCAAUAAGUGAGUAUAAGGCAGCUUGGCUUGAGAGGCAUUUUGAGGAAUUGGAAGCUCAAAGAGCAGUUUUUGAUUGUGAAAGGGAUAAGUCGCCAGGUCCAGAUGGGUUCUCUUUGCUAAUGUUCAAAAUUGCUGGGAUAUCUUGAAAGUAGAUAUUUUGAAGGUGAUGGAGGAGUUCUUUGAUAAAGGGAUAAUAAAUGCGGUGACAAAUGAAACAUUCAUUUGUCUUAUUCUGAAAAAGUCAGAUUCUUUGAACGUGACGAACUACAGGCCUAUAAGCCUAGCUACUAGUUUAUAUGAGAUUGUGGCGAAAGUGCUUGCAUCAAGACUAAAGGACGUUAUGGGUAGCACAAUCUCUCUAAAUCAAGGAGCUUUUGUUAAAGGUAGACAAAUUUUGGAUGCGGUCCUUGCAAAUGAGGUUGUAGAAGAGGUGAGGCAAAAGAAAAAGGAGGGAUUGAUGUUCAAGAUUGAUUUUGAAAAGGCUUAUGAUCAUGUGGAGUGGAGAUUUUUGGAUGAAGUCUUACAAAGAAAAGGCUUUGGCAAUAGAUGGAGGAGAAAGGUGCAAGGUUGUCUAAGUUCCGCAAAUUUCUCAGUUUUGAUCAAUGGGAGGCCUAGAGGAAAAUUUAAAGCUUCAAGAGGUUUGAGACAAGGUAAUCAACUAUCACCUUUUCUUUUCACCUUAUUAGUUGAUGUCUUGAGUAGAUUGCUGGAGAAGGCACAAGAGAAUACUAUGAUCAAAGGUUUGUGCAUUGGGCAAGAAAAGGUUGAGAUUUUGCAUCUUCAAUUUGCUAAUGACACCAUUUUUUUCUUGGCGGGGGCUGAGGGAGUUUGGAAAAACUUAUUAGAGUUGCCCAAUUUAUUUUGUACUGUUUCAAGUUUGAAAAUUAACAAAGCAAAGUGCUCUUGGCUGGAAUAAACUGGGAUUGUGAGAAAAUUAAAAGGAUGGUAGAUUCUUGGGGUUGUGAGGUGGGUAGUUGGCCAAUAACAUAUUUGUGUCUCCCUUUUGGGGGAAGGCCAAGAGCACUUACGUUUUGGGAUCCAGUUGUAGAAAAGAUGGAAAAAAGACUUCAAAGUUGGAAGAAGGAUUUCUUAUCUAGAGGUGGUAGAUUAACUUUGAUUCAAUCUGUUUUGGGAAGUUUGCCAAUUUAUUACAUGUCUUUGUUCAAAAUUCCUUGCGGGGUGACUGGACGGUUGGAAAAACUACUAAAAGGGUUUCUUUAGGAAAUGGGUAGAUGAAGGAAAGGAAAACCAUUUGGUGAAAUGGGAGGUAGUUAUAAAAAGUAAGGAGGAUGGGGGUUUAGGUGUGGGGAAUUUGAGGAAACGGAAUGAAGCGUUAUUGGCUAAGUGGUUGUGAAGAUUCCCAAAGGAAUCAAAUUCUCUCUAGCACAAGGUAAUAAGAAGCAAGUACGAGUUGCAGGAUAAUGGGUGGGAUGCAAAUCCUUCGCUGCAUGUUUCAAGUCGUAGCCCUUGGAAAGAUAUUUCAUCUGGUCUUCAAUCGUUCCUAGAAUGCUGCAAGUUUAAGGUGGCCAAUGGGGAGAGGGUGAGGUUUUGGGAGGAUGAUUGAUUGGAAGGUGGACCAUUGAAAAAGUAAUAUCCUAGAUUAUUCUUGUUAUUGAGAAUGCACAACCAGAUCAUUUCAAGUUUUGUGGAUUGUUUUCUUUCAUUCUUUGACCUGGAAUUUUGAUUUCAGGAGAAAUUUGAAUGAGUUGGAGAUAGAAGAGGCGGCUAGGUUAUUACAGAAGCUAGAAAAUGUUUGUUUGAUUCAAUCAAGAGCGGAUAAUAGAAGGUGGAAACUAGAAUUAUCAGGAUUGUUUACUUGCAAAUCUUAUAGCUCUUUCUUGAGCAACAAUGGAACUGUGCAACAUUUUCCACCUUUUUCUCAGAUUUGGAAAUCAAAAGCUCCUCAGAAGGUCAAAGUUCUUGUGUGGUUCGUGGCUACAAGGAAGGUCAACACUCAUGAUCAAGUUCACAAACCGAAAACCGAGGUCGAAAAAAACCCGACACC